rnacentral:ncRNA from 1 species
ACUUGGGGGUGCUCCCUUUGGGGGCUGAGAUGAUACCCAUUGAACCUGAUGCGGGUAAUGCCGACGAAGGGAGGUCAAU